rnacentral:rRNA from 1 species
GUCCACGCCGUAAACGAUGAGUACUAAGUGUAGGGGAAACUCUGUGCUGUAGUUAACGCAAUAAGUACUCCGCCUGAGUAGUACGUGCGCAAGCAUGAAACUCAAAGGAAUUGACGGGACCCCGCACAAGCGGUGGAUCAUGUUGUUUAAUUCGAUGAUACGCGAAGAACCUUACCAGGUCUUGACAUCCCCCGCGAGGCUCUAGAGAUAGAGCGGAGGUAUUCGGGGAGACAGGUGGUGCAUGGUUGUCGU